rnacentral:rRNA from 1 species
AUUGAACGCUGGCGGCAGGCCUAACACAUGCAAGUCGAACGAGUAGCGGACGGGUGAGUAAUGUCUGGGAAACUGCCUGAUGGAGGGGGAUAACUACUGGAAACGGUAUCUAAUACCGCAUACCCUCGGAUGUGCCCAGAUGGGAUUAGCUAGUAGGUGGGGUAAUGGCUCACCUAGGCGACGAUCCCUAGCUGGUCUGAGAGGAUGACCAGCCAAACUGGAACUGAUACACGGUUCAGACUCCUACGGGUGGCAGCAGUGGGUAAUAUUGCACAAUGGGCGCAAGCCUGAUGCAGCCAUGCCGCGUGUAUGAAGAAGGCCGUAGGGUUGUAAAGUACUUUCAGCGGGGAGGCGUUACCCGCAGAAGAAGCACCGGCUAACUCCGUGCCAGCAGCCGCGGUAAUAC